rnacentral:rRNA from 1 species
UACGUAGGGGGCUAGCGUUGUCCGGAAUCAUUGGGCGUAAAGAGCGUGUAGGCGGUCCGGUAAGUCCGCUGUGAAAGUCGGGGGCUCAACCCUCGAAUGCCGGUGGAUACUGUCGGGCUAGAGUGCGGAAGAGGCGAGUGGAAUUCCUGGUGUAGCGGUGAAAUGCGCAGAUAUCAGGAGGAACACCUAUUGCGAAGGCAGCUCGCUGGGACGUAACUGGCGCUAAGGCGCGAAAGCGUGGGGAGCGAACAGG